CAUUGCAUAAACUGUAUUUUAUUUUUACCUUCCUCUUUUGCACACGUAACGCGUGUCAGCAUGCCCGUAAAAUUCAUUUUCAUUUUAGAUUUCGCGUUUCUAUUUGCAUUUCGCUUGCAUUAUGCAACAAUGAAAACGAAACAAAGCAAAUGCCAUGUGAAACAGUUGCAAUUGCACAGCAAUUGUUGUGCCGUUAGAUUCAAGCUUUAAGUUUGCAUCUCUCUGUGUGUGUGUAUGUGUACGUGCAAGCGUGUGCGUGCUUUGACGUGGAGUGUGUGGGUUGAAAACAAUCAUCCACGGCUCAUCCACGCCAGUUCCCUCUCUCCCACGCACGCACGUCAACAGCCAGCCAAUGCCGACGCUCGCCCCGCAUUCCUCUCUCACUCUUUCGUUUAGUUUUGCUUGGGCCGAGUUUUUCGUUGAGUUUAAAAUUAGAUUUGCCUGCAUUUGGCAUUUGUUAGUGCACUCGCGCUUGCCUUUGCUUUAUGUAAUGCAAAUGGCUUUCUCUUAACGAAUCCUUUUCCAUUAUAAUGUGAUUCGCCGCAACGAAAUCCCAAUUAAAGCGCCGCUUUAAUCAGCGGCCUACUUGAAACGAAUUUCGUGCACUGGCAAUUAAACAAGACGCGCAUAUAUAGAGACGAUCAAACACUGACACAUGUGGCGUAUACGCGAUUUCACUGUAGCACAGUCAUCGUAACACACACACAUACGCACGCACACACUCGCACCGCAUAACGUAACCACUUGACCUUGCACACAUGCAGCUUGUAUUACACACACAGCUGCAGCACAUUUUAUUGGCUUAUAUAGCUAUCUAUCUAUAUAUACAAUGUCUCACUUGUAUUGCAGAAUUUUGCAAUAUAUAUUUUUUGUGUGUAAAAAUAACAAACGGACACGGGCAUGUGCUGCGCAUUCAGACAGCUGCCAUUGUGUGUGUGUGUGCGUGGGGGUGUAGCGUGUAUGCUAAAUAAUAGUAGUAAUAAAUACAACGUUAUACAAAUAAGAGAGGUUUUCCAUAUCGUUAAUGUUCAGGCUCGACAUAAAACAAAAUGCAACAAAUUCUAAAAUGAAUAAACAAAAUUCGAAAUUUUUUACGCUUUCAAAUGCUUUGCAGAUAUUUGUUGAAAUUCUCUACGCAAGCAUUUACGUAACUAAACAAUAAUAAUACAAAAUGUAUGUUUAAAAAAAUAAAAAUAAAAUGAAGCUAUAUACGAAAAAUAAUAACUUUUGCAAUUUAGUUUUGAUUCACGCACGAAUUAUACACAAAACUUGUCAAACUAAA